rnacentral:rRNA from 1 species
AAUAGAUACCCCGGUAGUCCACGCUGUAAACGAUGUCAACUAGCUGUUGGCUAUAUGAAUAUAGUUAGUGGCGCAGCAAACGCGAUAAGUUGACCGCCUGGGGAGUACGGUCGCAAGAUUAAAACCCAAAGGAAUUGACGGGGGCCCGCACAAGCGGUGGAGCAUGUGGUUUAAUUCGAUGCAACGCGAAGAACCUUACCUACCCUUGACAUACAGUGGAGCUUGCAGAGAUGUGAGUGUGCCUUCGGGAACACUGAUACAGGUGCUGCAUGGCUGUCGUCAGCUCGUGUCGUGAGAUGUUGGGUUAAGUCCCGUAACGAGCGCAACCCUUAUCCUUAGUUGCCAGCACGUAAAGGUGGGAACUCUAAGGAGACUGCCGGUGACAAACCGGAGGAAGGCGGGGACGACGUCAAGUCAUCAUGGCCCUUACGGGUAGGGCUACACACGUGCUACAAUGGUUGAUACAGAGGGCAGCGAAGGGGCGACCUGGAGCAAAUCUUAGAAAGUCAAUCGUAGUCCGGA